UUACGCGAAAGACCUUACCUACCCUUGACAUGCUAGGAAGUCCGCAGAGAUAUGGGAGUGCCGCAAGGAACCUGAACACAGGUGCUGCAUGGCUGUCGUCAGCUCGUGUCGUGAGAUGUUGGGUUAAGUCCCGCAACGAGCGCAACCCUUGUCAUUAGUUGCCAUCAUUUAGUUGGGCACUCUAAUGAGACUGCCGGUGACAAACCGGAGGAAGGUGGGGAUGACGUCAAGUCCUCAUGGCCCUUAUGGGUAGGGCUUCACACGUCAUACAAUGGUCGGUACAGAGGGUUGCCAAGCCGCGAGGUGGAGCCAAUCCCAGAAAGCCGAUCGUAGUCCGGAUCGUAGUCUGCAACUCGACUACGUGAAGUCGGAAUCGCUAGUAAUCGCGGAUCAGAAUGCCGCGGUGAAUACGUUCCCGGGUCUUGUACACACCG
rnacentral:rRNA from 1 species